GUUUGGGUUUCUUGAUCUCGAUCACUGAUUAUUACAAAUUCGUUUGUUGAGAAAACAACGCGUAUUUUUACUGGAUUUUGAACUCUAGCGACGUCUUCUCGUUGAUCACAAUCGCCGCCUCUCUGCUUCUUGGUUACAGUUGUCUGAUUCUUUUCAAUUAGAUUAACUUCUACUACGUUAAAUCGCUCGCGAACUGAAUGAACUUUCUAUAAUAAGUCUAAUAAAUUACUAUUCUUGUCGACACAAUUACGGC